GACGCACCGUGCGAACGUUGUUCGGAUUCACUGGGCUUAAAGGGCGCGUAGGCGGCCCGCCACGUCAGGGGUGAAAGCCCCCAGCUUAACUGGGGAAGGGCCUCUGAUACUGGCGGGCUCGAGGGGGAUAGGGGCGGACGGAACUUCCGGUGGAGCGGUGAAAUGCGUUGAUAUCGGAAGGAACGCCGGUGGCGAAAGCGGUCCGCUGGGUCCCCUCUGACGCUGAGGAGCGAAAGCGUGGGGAGCAAACAGG
rnacentral:rRNA from 1 species